UUUGAUAUGACAAGGCAGCAAGGAAGGUUUAUUUUUGAGAAUUUUAGAUUGCUAAGAGUUUUAAAAAUUAACUAUAUACGGCAGUCCCGACUACCUACGGAAAUUGGGCAUUUGAUUCAUUUGAGGUACCUUGGACUGUACGGUGUUGAAAUGAAUGAUAGACCCAAAGUUUCGUGCUUAGAGUCAUCACCUUUACCAUCAUCCAUAGGUAAUCUGCGGAGUUUAUAUACCCUUGAUUUACGAGGUAAUAUGAUGAUUACAUUACCCGCUGCAUUAUCGAAAUUAGAAUGCUUGAGACAUCUGUUAGUGGAUAGCGAUUCUUUAUGGCGGGUUAGAUUGGAUAAAUUAAGGGACUUGGAGACUUUGAAGUCGGUAACUG
rnacentral:misc_RNA from 1 species